rnacentral:rRNA from 1 species
GAUCCUGCCAGUAGUCAUAUGCUUGUCUCAAAGAUUAAGCCAUGCAAGUCUAAGUAUAAUUGUUUUACGGUGAAACUGCGAAUGGCUCAUUAAAUCAGUUAUAGUUUAUUUGAUGCUAUAGACCGCAAGGUCACUACAUGGAUAUCUGUAGUAACAUAGAGCUAAUACAUGCAAUAUAGUCUGACUUUUUGGAAGGACUAGCACUUAUUAGAUAUUAAACCAGUCCCAGCAAUGGGUUUUUUGGUGAUUCAUAGUAACUGAACAAAUCACAUGGUCUUGUACCGGUGAUGUUUCAUUCAAAUUUCUGCCCUAUCAACUAGAUGGUAGUAUAUAGGACUACCAUGGUUGUAACGGGUAACGGAGGAUUAGGGUUUGAUUCCGGAGAAGGAGCAUGAGAAACGGCUACUAUUUCUAAGGAAAGCAGCAGGCG